rnacentral:rRNA from 1 species
GACGAACGCUGGCGGCGUGCUUAACACAUGCAAGUCGAACGGAAAGGCCCUGCGUUUGUGGGGUGCUCGGGUGGCGAACGGGUGAGUAACACGUGAGUAACCUGCCCUUGACUUUGGGAUAACUUCAGGUAACUGGGGCUAAUACCGGAUAGGAGCUCCUGCUGCAUGGUGGGGGUUGGAAAGUUUCGGCGGUUGGGGAUGGACUCGCGGCUUAUCAGCUUGUUGGUGGGGUAGUGGCUUACCAAGGCUUUGACGGGUAGCCGGCCUGAGAGGGUGACCGGCCACAAUGGGACUGAGAGACGGCCCAGACUGCUACGGGAGGCAGCAGUCGGGAAUAUUGCACAAUGGGCGGAAGCCUGAUGCAGCAACGCCGCGUGCGUGAUCACGGCCUUCGGGGUGUGAACCGCUUUCGCCUGUUACGAAGCGUGAGUGACGGUAAUGGGUAAAGAAGCACCGGCUAACUACGUG